rnacentral:lncRNA from 1 species
ACACCCAUCACCCAUCAAUCACGUUUUUCUAUUCAAUCAGAAAAACUGGCGCAGCCUCGUCUCUUUGACAGCUUCACACGCACCUACCCAUCGCGUUUUUCUAUUCAAUCAGAAAGCCACCCUAUAGCCUACUCUUUUUUAUUUUUAUAAUUCAAAUUAGUUUUCUUCUUAAUGAAUAAUGGCAUCAGCAUCCCAAACAAACACUCCUCUCAAUCUCAAUCAAACGUCAAUCUCUUACCGAAUUAAACGUGUCGUUUUGAGGAUGAAAGGGAACGAAUUCGAAUCUGCAUAUCCCAACUUGCUAAGAAUAACUUUAUUCUUUUUCAUUUUAAUUUUUUUGCCAUCACGAGAAACCAACAAAAAAAAAAUUAUCUAAGUGACGAGCUUAAAUCAUUCAAAAGAUGUAAUUCAUAUAUAAAAAAUCAAUCCGAAACAAAAAAAAAAAAAAAAAAAAACUACAAAGUUCAAGAAAAUAACCCCCAAAAAAAAAAAAAAAAAAGCAAAAAAGAUUCAGAUCUUUACAUCAAAAUCAAGCCCUAUGAUGAUAGAAGUAAGAAAAGAAAAAGGGGUUCUGAAAUCAGCCAUAUUAGGAUCAGAAAUCAGCGUCUGAUGUGCUUGACCUUGUACCACCCUUUCUUGCACGAAUCUCCCACGACCUUCACUCCCUUCUUCACCAAGAUCGUCAGCUCCCUGGCCCUCUCCUUCACCUUAUGCUCAAACCCAGCCAUUCUCUUCCUUCCGGUUUUCGCUUUUUACAGAGAGAAACACAGACGCAAAGUUCUAGAGAGAGAGAGAGAAAAAGUAAACAAGAGAGAGAUGUUUGGGUUUUGAGGGUUUUUGGG